AACCGUGCGAAGGUAGCAUAAUCAUUAGUCUCUUAAUAGGGGUCUGGUAUGAAUGGUCGUACGAGAAUUUAACUGUCUUUAUUUUAAAAAUUGAAUUUAACUUUUGAGUUAAAAGGCUUAAAUGUAUUAGGGGGACGAUAAGACCCUAUAAAGCUUUAUACUAUUAAUAAUUUUAGAAGAUUUAGACAAUUAAAUUUUAAAAUUAUUUUAGUAUUGUGCUGGGGCGGCAUGGAUAUUUCAAAGCAACUGUUUAAAGUUUAUAACACUUGUAUGUGUAGUUUAAUUGAUCCUUGGUAGAGAUUAAAAGAUAAAGUUACUUUAGGGAUAACAGCGUAAUCUUUCUUGAGAGUCCAAAUCGAGAGAAAGGUUUGCGACCUCGAUGUUGAAUUAAAAUUCUUUUCUAGUGCAGAAGCUAGGAUAGGAGGUCUGUUCGACCUU
rnacentral:rRNA from 1 species